CCAAUAUUGGUUGUGCUGCUCCA
rnacentral:miRNA from 1 species